rnacentral:rRNA from 1 species
UACGUAGGGGGCUAGCGUUGUCCGGAUUUAUUGGGCGUAAAGAGCGUGUAGGCGGCUAUGCAGGUCCGCUGUGAAAACUCGAGGCUCAACCUCGAGACGUCGGUGGAAACCGCAUGGCUAGAGUCCGGAAAAGGAGAGUGGAAUUCCCGGUGUAGCGGUGAAAUGCGCAGAUAUCGGGAAGAACACCCGUGGCGAAGGCGGCUCUCUGGAACGGUACUGACGCUGAGACGCGAAAGCGUGGGGAGCGAACAGG